UGGGUACCAUUAUAAAUAAAAUUGCCUGCUCCACUAAUGGAUGGAAGCUGAACAGCGCUUCCCAUACAUACUCAUCAAAUAUAUCUACAAGUGCUACAGGUCAUAAAAAAAAAAUAAUUGUUGACACUAAAUAAACAGGGAAAGCUUGACAAAAAUCGUACUAGGUAGAAACAAACAAACAAACAAAAAAGAAUGUGGUAAAUAACAUCUACAUCAAAAUAAAAAAGAAUAAUAAAAACGAAAAUUAACGAAGAUAGGCGAUUCGGGACUCCGCCAUAAAAGAAAGACUAAUAAGAAAUUAUACCUUAAGACAAAAUUCCAUUAGAAUAAAAAAAAAAAAAACAGCUGGGAUCGCCAGUCCCCAGUCAGCUAUUCCUUUCUUCUUGUGUGUGAGCUGAUCAUGCUGCUGUUUUUCUUUUCUUCUAUUUAGAAGAGAAACUGGACAAGGGAAACAAAAUUUAUUUAACAAAAAGGUCCACUUAGAUGCCAAUUUCCUCACAGGUUGAAGAGAAAAGUCAAAAGAAUGGGAUAAAGUUCAAGCCAUGGACAAAAAAAAAAAAAAAAAAAAAGUCAUGUGCAGAGAAGCACGGUAGAUGAGAUGACGCGCAGAAUUACCAAUAUCAGAGGAUGCAGUUGGCAUGGAAAUACCGGUAGUAGAUGGCGGUGAGAAAAGGCUAAAGACAAUCAGUCAGAGGAGAGGAGUUGAUAAGAACAACUUUUGGUUCCACUGAAAACAUUUAUGGGUAAGUAAAUAAAUCAAUAAAAAAAAGAGAGCCUCUCAUUGUACCAUUAAGAAGAAUUACGUUGUAAUGGAACAUAGUGUUUCGAAGUUCAGCAUGGAACACUGGUUUGAACGAAGCAAGACACGGCAGACAAAGAGAGACUCGGCGGGGAGUGCUGUGUGUGAGUGGCUGUUACACGACAUAGAGCUGGGCUGUCUGUCUUGUCUUUACUGGCACGACAGGGCACUGCAAGCAGCGGGCGAUUUUUGCCUUAGGCAGGAUUUUUUUACUGGUGAUGGAUGGAGGCCUCAGGUCGGUGGACUGUAACUGAAGACCACGCCGCUUCGGGCUCCUUUUCCCGCCAGUCCCUCUGCGUUUCUCCUGAAUGUCGACAGGGCGCUGUUUGGGACCGAAGCACCUGCUGCCGCAACUCCAGUGACGCCAUCCUCAAGCCAAGGGGACAGCUCUGUGACGUCACGCCACCAUAUUAACAUAGGAAGGAACUCUGAGCCAUGGACAAUGGGCCACUCUGUUCCUGAGGGAGGGGAGGGGAAGAGAGGGGAGGGAAGGAAGAGAGGUUUUGAACUCUCUCUUUCUCUCAGACUUACCUUGCCUCACUCAGCCAUCCAUCGCCUGCCUCUCACAUCCUCUCCACUCUUACACUGUUCACACUCUCACCACAUCUCCUCUCCCGCAUCUUCACGUCGCAUUUAAUUUCACGUUCAAUUAUACAUACAAAUUCUUUUUAAAUUCUUAAGUUUAAAAAUUGUAAGAGUGCUUUACAAGAGUUCGGAAUAAUCUGGAUAUUUAAAAACACAGCAUUGCAGUCGGAGAUCUUGUGCAGCUGUCAGAAAGACAUUGAUAGGGCAAAAGAAAAAGAAAAGGGGGGAAAAAAAUGUUACUUACUUUAUUGCAUUCAUAAGCGACAAAAAUAAGUGUUGGGAAAUUUUCAUCUAUUAAUUUGUGAACACUGCAGCCCUUAAAAGUAUUCCACGAAGGACAGUGAAUCCAUUUAUAGUCUGCAUAUCGUUGAUGACGAAACCAAACACCACCUGUCCACCUGCCACUUGCCACCUGCUCUGCCAGGAAUGUGAGGCAUGUAGUACGUCUUUCAUGUGUGACCGGCAAGGGAUACAAGAGAGAAGGAGGAAGACAACAACAACAACAACAACAACAACAACAACAACAACAACAACAACAACAGCAGCAGCAGUAAUUACUAACAACAAUAAAGAUAAAGAUGAAAAAGGAA
rnacentral:lncRNA from 1 species